GUGCCCACUUCAGUAGCACAUAUACUAAAAUUGGAACAAUACAGAGAACAUCAGCAUGGUCCCUGCGUAAAGGUGACAUGCAAAUUCAUGAAGCAUUCAAAAACAAA